rnacentral:rRNA from 1 species
UACGUAGGGUGCAAGCGUUGUCCGGAAUUAUUGGGCGUAAAGAGCUCGUAGGCGGUUUGUCGCGUCUGCUGUCAAAGACCGGGGCUUAACUUCGGAAAGGCAGUGGAAACUGAACAGCUAGAGUAUGGUAGGGGCAGAGGGAAUUCCUGGUGUAGCGGUGAAAUGCGUAGAGAUCAGGAAGAACAUCGGUGGCGAAGGCGCUCUGCUGGACCAUAACUGACACUCAGGGACGAAAGCUAGGGGAGCGAAUGGG